rnacentral:rRNA from 1 species
UACGAAGGGGGCUAGCGUUGUUCGGAAUUACUGGGCGUAAAGCGCGCGCAGGCGGUCUUCCAAGUCAGUGGUGAAAGCCCGGAGCUCAACUCCGGAACUGCCAUUGAAACUGUUAGACUUGAGGACGAGAGAGGUGAGUGGAAUUCCCAGUGUAGAGGUGAAAUUCGUAGAUAUUGGGAAGAACACCAGUGGCGAAGGCGGCUCACUGGCCCGAUACUGACGCUGAGGCACGAAAGCGUGGGGAGCAAACAGG